GACAGAAUUUGGACAGGAAACUAAAUCCACUUAUGAAAUGUUUCCUUUCUGCUUCUAAUUCUCAGGUGUCCUACAUUAGUCAAGACUGUGAAGAAAUUCCAGAAUUCCUAGGACGAAAAUAUGGACAUAUGGCAAAAAGGCUAGAUCUUAGCUUCAACUUGUUAAGGGUGCAGAUUAUUUCUACUAGGAGCAUGAAUAAUUUGCACAGUAUGUGCUUGUGCAUAAUUUCCACUCUCCGAUGAUGAAGGUGUAUAUAUGAAAACAUCCCCUUGAACUAUAAUCCUAAUCUGCAAUGUUCCUCCGUGACUUUCGUGAGGCUGAGCCUUUGUAAUAUCCUCUCUGUGGACUUGAGAUUGUUGUU
rnacentral:lncRNA from 1 species